GAACGGAUGACCUGCUUGCUGGGCUUCCCAUUACUAAUUCUUGAGACAUGAGGCUGACUGAUAGAGGAAUUGUCUUACUGAGAUGGAUGAGCCUGCCUCAAGCUACCAUAAGAUGGGAGGACCGACGGUUGACUGACUCUGCCUGCUUGGUUGGCCAUUACCGAUUCUUGAGAAGAUGACGACCGCCAAGCUUGGAUGAGACUGGACAAAGAUGCCCUCAUCAGACACUUUCCAAUUUGUGGAAUAUUGGAUCACAAAUUUGCAAUAUUAUAAAACAUAAAAACGACGAAAAUACGAAUUCUUACGCCAAAGUUACCGUUAUAAUAUUAUUGGAAGAAAUAAUAGCUUACAUCACUGUUACUUGUUAACUUUACUGAGAUACCUAUAUUAGAAAACACAAGAACGUUUAAUUUUUAGGAAAAUUUAAAGAAUAAACUGUUCAGGAACUUCUAUCCAUUAAAAUGCAUUGCAACGGGUAUUAGUGACACUCAAAUUACAUUUGUGUUUGUCCUUUUGUGAUUUA